UUAAAUAGUAUUAUCAGUGUGGGAGAUGUACAGCACUUCUGUAGCAGCCUGCAAUGUGAGAUAGGAGAACUUGGAAGGCAAUCACGAUGGGAGACAGAAGAGUGCAAGAAAUGUACCAGUUGCAUUGCCGAUCUGCAUGAGUGGCUCUUCGUAGCACAGGGAAAGCAGAGCAGAUGUGSCUGGAUUAUCCAUUCCCUGUUGUUGUGGAAGGUGGCCACAAUAUAUUACUUUAAGGACCCGAUCCUUCAGCUCAUCAGGUUUAYUCCAUCUCUCAGCAAGUCACUACAAACAGAGCCAUCUUGCCAGAUGAGCAAUUCUGUCUCCCUUAGACUAAAGUGGUCAGAGAUGUCUGAGUACAGUCAAACAUGGAUACAGGCUGUUGACAGUUUCAGGACAAGAGAGUGAAAGACAAAUGAAAGURGUAAAAAUGUUACAGAGUCAUUCAUGAGACAUCACUGAAGAGAGCAGACAAGCAUUAAACCUGGCACUGCUAAAUCACUAAGCCUGUGGACAGAAUCAUCUCUCUGUGAUCCUCAUAUCCUUUUCCCUAAACUCCAGGCAAAUUACACAAGACUUYGGGGGCUCACAAGACCAUAAAAGGUGCCAAAUGCCAGAAUACGGGGUCCCAUCUUSACCCUGGAAUGGUGCUGAUACAGAAAAGAAGGUGAGCUCUGGGAUCGUUGGUGCUGCUGAGCGGCAAUAACUGGAACAUGGACACCUGAGCUCCAGUAUCUCCUACACCUGCUCUUCAGCACUGCGUGWUUCAACACCGCCUUUUUCACCAGCAUCCUCUGUAACGUGGGCAUGUUUCUGCUCCGAGAUAAACCUCACAGGGAGUAAAUAUGGAAUGCACCAAAAUAGAGAUGUAUUAUGCAGCCAUGUA